rnacentral:rRNA from 1 species
GCUAGUAAUCGCGAAUCAGAAUGUCGCGGUGAAUACGUUCCCGGGUCUUGUACACACCGCCCGUCACACCAUGGGAGUCGGGAAUGCCCGAAGUCAGUGACCCAACCUUUGGAGGGAGCUGCCGAAGGCAGGUCUGAUAACUGGGGUGAAGUCGUAACAAGGUACC